rnacentral:rRNA from 1 species
AAAUUGAAGAGUUUGAUCAUGGCUCAGAUUGAACGCUGGCGGCAGGCCUAACACAUGCAAGUCGAACGGUAGCACAGAGAGCUUGCUCUCGGGUGACGAGUGGCGGACGGGUGAGUAAUGUCUGGGAAACUGCCUGAUGGAGGGGGAUAACUACUGGAAACGGUGGCUAAUACCGCAUAACGUCGCAAGACCAAAGAGGGGGACCUUCGGGCCUCUUGCCAUCAGAUGUGCCCAGAUGGGAUUAGCUAGUUGGUGAGGUAACGGCUCACCAAGGCGACGAUCCCUAGCUGGUCUGAGAGGAUGACCAGCCACACUGGAACUGAGACACGGUCCAGACUCCUACGGGAGGCAGCAGUGGGGAAUAUUGCACAAUGGGCGCAAGCCUGAUGCAGCCAUGCCGCGUGUAUGAAGAAGGCCUUCGGGUUGUAAAGUACUUUCAGCGGGGAGGAAGGUGUUGU